rnacentral:rRNA from 1 species
CAGCCGCCACGGGAAUACGAGUGGGGCAAGCGUUGUUCGGAAUUAUUGGGCGUAAAGGGUGCGUAGGCGGCUCGACAAGUCUUGUGUGAAAUCUAUGGGCUCAACCCAUAGUCUGCACGGGAAACUGUCGGGCUUGAGAAUGGGAGAGGUGAGUGGAAUUUCCGGUGUAGCGGUGAAAUGCGUAGAUAUCGGAAGGAACACCUGUGGCGAAAGCGGCUCACUGGACCAUUUCUGACACUGAGGCACGAAAGCGUGGGGAUCAAACAGGAUUAGAGACCCCGGUAGUCCCUGUCUCUUAUAC